rnacentral:rRNA from 1 species
CAGGCCUAACACAUGCAAGUCGAACGGUAAGGCCCUUCGGGGUACACGAGUGGCGAACGGGUGAGUAACACGCGGGUGAUCUGCCCUGCACUUCGGGAUAAGCCCGGGAAACUGGGUCUAAUACCGGAUAGGACUGCGCGGUGCAUGCCGUGUGGUGGAAAGAUUUAUCGGUGCAGGAUGGGCCCGCGGCCUAUCAGCUUGUUGGUGGGGUAAUGGCCUACCAAGGCGACGACGGGUAGCCGGCCUGAGAGGGCGACCGGCCACACUGGGACUGAGACACGGCCCAGACUCCUACGGGAGGCAGCAGUGGGGAAUAUUGCACAAUGGGCGCAAGCCUGAUGCAGCGACGCCGCGUGAGGGAUGACGGCCUUCGGGUUGUAAACCUCUUUCAGCAGGGACGAAGCGUGAGUGACGGUACCUGCAGAAGAAGCACCGGCCAACUACGUGCCAGCAGCCGCGGUAA